CCCUUAGAUGUCCUGGGCCGCACGCGCGCUACACUGAUGCAUGCAACGAGUUUAUAACCUUGGCCUGAAAGGUCUGGGUAAUCUUUUGAACGUGCAUCGUGAUAGGGAUAGAUUAUUGCAAUUGUUAAUCUUGAACGAGGAAUUCCUAGUAAACGCGAGUCAUCAGCUCGCAUCGAUUACGUCCCUGCCCUUUGUACACACCGCCCGUCGCACCUACCGAUUGAAUGGUUCGGUGAAGAUCUCGGACUUCGAUAUUUAUUCUUUAUUGAGUUUAUAUUGUGGGAAGUUAUCUAAACCUCAUCAUUUAGAGGAAGGUGAAGUCGUAACA
rnacentral:rRNA from 1 species